GUCAGAAUGAGAAGCAGACAAGUCGUGUACGUUCUAACAAGCCUUGGUAAAGCAUCUCGCCGCUGGAUCGUCAUCGCUUGUGCAGGAAAUCAGCGUUAAGGAAACAACGGAGGGUGAAAAAGGCUCAUUGGGGAGACGGUGAAGUCGCGGAACAACACAACUCAACUGCAACCUGAAGGCCAAG